rnacentral:piRNA from 1 species
UUCAAUACAUCAAACAAUGAA